rnacentral:rRNA from 1 species
UGUCGUCAGCUCGUGUCGUGAGAUGUUGGGUUAAGUCCCGCAACGAGCGCAACCCUUAAGCUUAGUUGCCAUCAUUAAGUUGGGCACUCUAGGUUGACUGCCGGUGACAAACCGGAGGAAGGUGGGGAUGACGUCAAAUCAUCAUGCCCCUUAUGAUUUGGGCUACACACGUGCUACAAUGGACAAUACAAAGGGCAGCUAAACCGCGAGGUCAUGCAAAUCCCAUAAAGUUGUUCUCGGUUCGGAUUGUAGUCUGCAACUCGACUACAUGAAGCUGGAAUCGCUAGUAAUCGUAGAUCAGCAUGCUACGGUGAAUACGUUCCCGGGUCUUGUACACACCGCCCGUCACACCACGAGAGUCUGUAACACCCGAAGCCGGUGGAGUAACCAUUUAUGGAGCUAGCCGUCGAAGGUGGGACAAAUGAUUGGGGUGAAGUCGUAACAAGGUAGCCGUAUCGGAAGGUGCGGUUGGAUCACCUC